GCUAUGGAGCGAAAGGGAGAAGGGUUAUAGACUCAGGCAUCAAGCAGUGAAGUGUGAGCCUGUCAGCCUCCCAGAUUCCUCACCCAUCUAGGCUGUUUCUCCUUUCUUUGUCAGAGGCAGCUCAAGACCAGUCUCCUCUCUGAGACAUGCUCUCCAGCCCCUCAGGGCCCCUGGACCCAUCUCCAUGCGUCUCCUGCCCCUGGAAGUGCCCUCCUGCCUUCCCUUCCCCUCCCCUGAUGCCUCCCCAUGCAUGGGCUCAGCUUCCUCCUGGUUCCCCACAGGCUCAGCCAGGCCAGAAAGCCCCCAGGUUUCCCCUCCACUGCCUGUCACUGCACCUGAGAGGUGCUUUGGGGAGUCCCCACUCCAGUUCCUCCCUAUCCCCCAGGGCUUGCAGGCUUCCUGUCCCCUGGUAUAUGGUGUGUGGGUGCCACCUACACCACUCCGGGCCUGGAGCACUGGCUGCUGGUCUCAUAAUAACCCGUGAUCCGAUGACGUGCGAUUGCCUGGGCAAUGUAGUUGAAGCAGCACUCGGCCGGGUGGUAAGGUCCUCCUGAGGAGAGAGCAGGGAGGGAAGUGGACACUGGGUUCUCUGCUAAAAGCCAGAGCUGCUGGCUGCUUCUGCACUAUAGAGGGUGGAAGAGGGAAAGGAGGAGGAGGUGGCCUCACAGAAUUUGGAGGGAGGGUUGUGCAGACACUCGGUCCUCCGGCUCCCCUCUCCCUCCUCCUGCAUCCACAAUCACCCUCUUUCCUGUUCUUCAACCUCUCCUAGAAAGACUGGCUGAUGACCUUCAACUCCAGAUUGAAGAUUAGCAAAGCCCAAAUCUUCUCAGGGCCAGGAUGGAAGGAAGACAAGGUAUUGCACUCACGUGAAGAGGAUUUAGCCGUGGACACCAGGGCACCGGUGAUGAGGAGGAGGAGGAAGAGGGAGAUGGCAGCCAUGGAGACUUUCAUCCUCCUGGGUUGAGGGAGCUGCUGCAGGAGGAGAACUUGCCUGGUAGGGGCUUCUGAAGCUCCUGGGCUGAGGUGGUGGUGAGAAA